rnacentral:lncRNA from 1 species
GCACUAUGUUUGCAGUAAUUUGUUAAGGCAGCAAUAGAAGACUAAUAUAGAGUUAUAUGUUAAUGGCCACAUUAAACAAAAUAUAUAUCAUGACAAAGGCUUAAGAAACAUCUGGAAUAUUUGGAUGUCUUGGAUGUUAAGAAUCUUGGGAUCAAUUUUCGUAGAAGCUCUAUUUAUAAGCACAAGAAAUUGGAAACAAGCCAAAUGUCUUUCAGCUGAUGAAUGGACAAACCAAUUGUGGCAUAUCCAUACAAUGGAGUACAAUGCAGCAUCAAAAAGAAACACACCGUAGACACCUGCAACAACUUGGAUUAAUCUCAGAGGGAUUAUGGUGCUGGCCAUGCAGGGACUUGGUCUCUGAAUGAGAUGAAGAGCCAUUAGCCUAUGAGCAGAGGAGCAGCAUAACAGGACUUCCGUUUUCAAGACACCUCUUUGGCUGUGAUGUUAGGAAUGAGGUAGAAACAGGGAGACCAGUUAGAAGGUUGUCACCAUAAUCAAGGUACCAGCAUGGGAGGGGUGAAAAGCAAUCAGCCUCCGGAUAUACUUUAAAG